ACCUAUGUAACCUUCCUUUCUCCCUUCGUUGCGGAAUAUAAUAAUCAUCCCUCUAUAUUUAAGGCAAGACUAAUUUGAGAUUUAUUAACCAGCCUAUCAACCACGCUUCGUUUCGCUGAUUCGAGACGGGUUCGCUUCAUAGCUCGUUUUGCCUCCAUCAUCUCGCGGGCAGUAGCAGCCGGACAGCGGGCGUGGAGGGACGGAGGAACGGAGGAGAGAUGGAAGUAAGGAGCGGAGAGACGAAGAUGACGCAGUUUUCUGAAGGAUUUGCGUGUGAUGCAGUUCGUAGCGAGGCGAAUGGGUACAAAGCGAGACAGCAACACCUGCGCCCCCCCCCCCCUCCUUUACCCCUCCUGGUGACCAGGACAACACAUCCCUCACUAUAAAGUUGAAACUUAAGAAAACCAGGAGGACGACAAACUAUGCACUUUGGGUUGGUUGGAGAUCAUCGAGGUCUGUUUGGAAGGUUUUGGCCAGAUUCAGGGAAGCCAGGAUGUCCCUCGCUCACUUCCACUUCAUGCACAAGGUUCUUUGGUAUGUGUCUUUCAAUGAAUUGUCCUGGAAGGACUUGACACAACUAAAUCCACUGGCCCCGACAACAUUCUCGCCUUCAUCCUUAAAUUCUUUGCCCCAUCCUUCAUGCCAUAUUCACCCAAUCCCUAUCAUCCACUUCAUUACCCUCUGACUGGCUUUUGGCAAACAUUAAUCCAUUUUUUAAGACAGAUGAUCGGACUGACCAUGCCAAUUAUCACCCCAUCUCACUAACAUCGAUUCCAUGUAAAAUUUUCGAACACAAUGCACAAACACAUAAUGCACAAACACAUAAUGAAUCACUUUGACACAAACAACAUCCUUACUGACUCACAAUACAGCUUUCGACCCAAACACUCAUGUGAAUCGCAACUCAUUACUACAUUUCACGACAUUACGAGGCUACUUGACCGACGUGACAUCAAACGAGUUGACACUAUUAUUUUAGAUUUUGCCAAAGCCUUCGACAAAGUCCCCACACAAAAGACUGACAUUAAAAUUGAAAUACUACAGUAUUUCAGGACCUAUUCUCCACUGGAUCACUGCAUUUCUUACUAACCAGACUCAACUUGUUCUUCUUGACGGAUCUUCAUCUGACACUGUCUCUGUUUCUUUAGGUGUCCCACAACGCACUGUUCUAGGCCCCCUUCUUUUCCUCCUGUACAUUAACGAUCUUCCAUUCCCAACGCCUAACUCUUCCACUAGACUAUUUGCCGACGAUAGUUUGCUGCUUAGAGCAGUAAAGACUACCGACGACUGCAGACUGCUACAAAAAGAAUUGGAUGCUCUCCAGCGGUGGGAGUGCACCUGGCAAAUGCACUUCUGACCAGAUAAAUGCAAACUGUUAAGAUUCACCAGAGCUCACAACCCCAUCCAUCACAGUUAUGCACUCUUCAAAUUCAGAACUAAAAUCAGUCCACACACACAAGUAUCUUGGUGUCCACCUAUCCACUAACCUUAAGUUCAACACUCACAUAGACCACAUCAGUGCCACAGCCAACUGAACUCUGGGGUUCCUGAGGAGGAAUUUAUAUAACUGCACACCUGACAUUAAACACAUAGUUUGACACACUUGUGAGACCACUGGAAUACUGCUCCACGGUGUGGGAUCCUUACACACACAGAAACAUUGAUAGGUUAGAACAAAUCAACACCAAGGCGGCUAGGUUCAAACAAUUACACUCGAACACUUGGCAUCACAACACGGAUCAAACAAAUAAACAUGGAACCUAUUCACAUACAAGGACUGGAGGCUGCAGAACGCCUAACCUCAGACCUUGCUAUCAUUUCCAAUUGGGGUAAAAGAAACCUUGUGUCCUUCAAUGCCUCAAAAACCCAGUUUCUCCAAUUAUCAACUAGACACAAGCUUCCAAACACCUAUCCCCUAUUCUUCGACAACACCCAGCCGUCACCUUCUUCAACACUAAAUAUCCUCGGUCUAUCCUUAACUUAAAAUCUCAACUGAAAACUUCACAUCUCCUCUCUUACUAAAUCAGCUUCCUCGAGGUUGCGCGUUCUGUGUUGUCUCCGCCAGUUCUUCUCCCCUGCACAGAUGCUUUCCAUAUAUAGGGGCCUUGUCCGCCCUCAUAUGGAGUAUGCAUCUCACAUGUGGGGGGGGCUCCACUCAUACAGCUCUUCUGGACAGAGUGGAGUCUAGGGCUCUUCGUCUCAUCAGCUCUCCUCCUCUUAACUGACAGCCUUCUACCUCUCAUUCUGCCGCCAUGUUGCCUCUCUAUCUUCUAUCGAUAUUUUCAUGCUGACUGUUCUUCUGAACUUGCUAACUGCAUGCCUCCCGCGGCCCCGCUGCACAUGACUUUCUACACAUGCUCAUCCCUAUACUGUCCAAACCCCUUAUGCAAGAGUUAACCAGCAUCUCCAUUCUUCCAUCCCCUUCACUGGUAAACUCUGGAACAGUCUUCCUUCGUCUGUAUUUCCUCCUUCCUAUGACUUGACCUCUUUCAAGAAGUGUGUAUCAAGACACCUCUCCACCCAAAAUUGACAUCUCUUUUGGCUACUCUUUACUUUCUAAUUUUGUGGGAGCGGCGAAUAGCAGUCUUUUUUUUCAUACUCUUUCUGAUGCCCUUGAUCCGUUUCCAUUCAUGUAAAAAAUAUAAAAAAUAUAAUAAAAUUGUAAUGCCUAUGCUACAAGUUUUAAAUAAAGAGUACAAGUCAGUCACUUGUAGCACUCCAUUGUUAAACACACUCAUGGUGUUGCUGAUAAGUAGAGUUGUGUACCCUUAGCUACAUCAAUGACCUAGUAGGGAAAGCUGCUUAAGUCUCUACCAUUUGUUUUUCUUUGGGCCGGGAAUGAGUCAAGACUCAGAGGAAUGACACUCCCAUAAACAUACCCACCAAUGUGGUUGUUGAGUUUUAAAGUCACACAGGGCAGCUGUAAUAUUUUAGUCUUGCUGUUAUAAAAAGUUUGAGUAACAUUUUAAUACAGACUUAUAGCAUGAACAUUGCAUUGUCUCAGGUUCCAGAAGUGAGGGAAGAAGGCAUUAUCACAGUUCAGGCAUCUUGGGAAACUGACAUCAGAAAUUACGAUUCAAAUAAAUUUCAUUUUUGUGCCUUCCUUUUAGAUUGCAGUAGGUAAUAGUUGCCAGUUGAGGGGUUUCAUGGAGCUGCACUAGAUCAACUUAGCUACCUCAGUAAAGCUCUGGAUUUCUUCCAUUGAGGCAUGGGCCCAUCAGAAUAUGAUUGAACAGCAUUAAAUUUUAAUUAUUUUUUUUGUUUCAAGACAUGAUGGCAAUGGAGAUAUCGAGAAAGGUACAAGAAAGUAGCCUGCAGUGGUACCGCCAUGACAAAAGUCAUUGGGCAGGAGACUUCCGGAAACCAAAGUGGAGGUGGAUGGACUGUGUGAAGGAGGAGGAGAGCUGCCAGACAUUGACCUCACAUAGAAGUGGGGAAAAGUCCAGAUGAAGACCAUUCAGACAUGAAGGACUGCUGAGGGAGCCGAUAUGUUCUUCCUGAUGGCCGCGUCUACCCACAGAAGUGCCUGGAUGGACGGAUGCCUGAAGCACAGCAGUGGGGCAUUCCAGCUACCCAUCAAACGUCCUGUCUGUAACCGAGAAGUUGGCUUUUGUCUGGGAAAGUUCAAAUACACUUAUGAAACACUGAUAAUUAAA